GACGAACGCUGGCGGCGUGCCUAAUACAUGCAAGUCGAACGCUGAGGACAGGAGCUUGCUCUUCUUGGGUUAGUUGCGGACGGGUGAGUAACGCGUAGGUAACCUGCCUGUUAGCGGGGGAUAACUACUGGAAACGAUAGCUAAUACCGCAUAACAUGGAUUAUCGCAUGAUAAUCCAUUGAAAGGUGCCUAUGCAUCACUACCACAUGGACCUGCGUUGUAUUAGCUAGUUGGGGGGGUAACGGCUCACCAAGGCGACGAUACAUAGCCGGCCUGAGAGGGUGACCGGCCACACUGGGACUGAGACACGGCCCAGACUCCUACGGGAGGCAGCAGUAGGGAAUCUUCGGCAAUGGACGGAAGUCUGACCGAGCAACGCCGCGUGAGUGAAGAAGGUUUUCGGAUCGUAAAGCUCUGUUGUAAGAGAAGAACGAGUGUGAGAGUGGAAAGUUCACACUGUGACGGUAUCUUACCAGAAAGCGACGGCUAACUACGUG
rnacentral:rRNA from 1 species